UAAACUCCCGGUGUUGAGGAAGAUAAUGACGGUACUCAACAAGGAAGUGACGGCUAACUACGUGCCAGCAGCCGCGGUAAAACGUAGGUCACAAGCGUUGUCCGGAAUUACUGGGUGUAAAGGGAGCGCAGGCGGGAAGACAAGUUGGAAGUGAAAUCCAUGGGCUCAACCCAUGAACUGCUUUCAAAACUGUUUUUCUUGAGUAGUGCAGAGGUAGGCGGAAUUCCCGGUGUAGCGGUGGAAUGCGUAGAUAUCGGGAGGAACACCAGUGGCGAAGGCGGCCUACUGGGCACCAACUGACGCUGAGGCUCGAAAGUGUGGGUAGCAAACAGGAUUAGAUACCCUGGUAGUCCACACCGUAAACGAUGAUUACUAGGUGUUGGAGGAUUGACCCCUUCAGUGCCGCAGUUAACACAAUAAGUAAUCCACCUGGGGAGUACGACCGCAAGGUUGAAACUCAAAGGAAUUGACGGGGGCCCGCACAAGCAGUGGAGUAUGUGGUUUAAUUCGACGCAACGCGAAGAACCUUACCAAGUCUUGACAUCCCUUGACGAUGCUGGAAACAGUAUUUCUCUUCGGAGCACGGAGACAGGUGGUGCAUGGUUGUCGUCAGCUCGUGUCGUGAGAUGUUGGGUUAAGUCCCGCAACGAGCGCAACCCUUAUGGUCAGUUACUACGCAAGAGGACUCUGGCCGGACUGCCGUUGACAAA
rnacentral:rRNA from 1 species